AGAGUUUGAUCCUGGCUCAGGAUGAACGCUAGCGACAGGCUUAACACAUGCAAGUCGAGGGGCAGCACAGGUAGCAAUACCGGGUGGCGACCGGCGCACGGGUGAGUAACGCGUAUGCAACUUACCUAUCAGAGGGGGAUAACCCGGCGAAAGUCGGACUAGGCAUGCGUUCCAUUAGGCAGUUGGCGGGGUAACGGCCCACCAAAGCGACGAUGGAUAGGGGUUCUGAGAGGAAGGUCCCCCACAUUGGUACUGAGACACGGACCAAACUCCUACGGGAGGCAGCAGUGAGGAAUAUUGGUCAAUGGACGGAAGUCUGAACCAGCCAUGCCGCGUGCAGGAAGACGGCUCUAUGAGUUGUAAACUGCUUUUGUACUAGGGUAAUUUGCGGUACGUGUACCGUAUUGAAAGUAUAGUACGAAUAAGGAUCGGCUAACUCCGUGCCAGCAGCCGCGGUAAUACGGAGGAUCCAAGCGUUAUCCGGAUUUAUUGGGUUUAAAGGGUGCGUAGGCGGUUUAGUAAGUCAGCGGUGAAAUUUUGGUGCUUAACACCAAACGUGCCGUUGAUACUGCUGGGCUAGAGAGUAGUUGCGGUAGGCGGAAUGUAUGGUGUAGCGGUGAAAUGCUUAGAGAUCAUACAGAACACCGAUUGCGAAGGCAGCUUACCAAACUAUAUCUGACGUUGAGGCACGAAAGCGUGGGGAGCAAACAGGAUUAGAUACCCUGGUAGUCCACGCAGUAAACGAUGAUAACUCGUUGUCGGCGAUAUACAGUCGGUGACCAAGCGAAAGCGAUAAGUUAUCCACCUGGGGAGUACGUUCGCAAGAAUGAAACUCAAAGGAAUUGACGGGGGCCCGCACAAGCGGAGGAACAUGUG
rnacentral:rRNA from 1 species